rnacentral:rRNA from 1 species
GACGAACGCUGGCGGCGUGCUUAACACAUGCAAGUCGAACGGAAAGGCCCUGCUCUUGCGGGGUGCUCGAGUGGCGAACGGGUGUGUAACACGUGAGUAACCUGCCCUUGACUUUGGGAUAACUUCAGGAAACUGGGGCUAAUACCGGAUAGGAGCUCCUGCUGCACGGUGGGGGUUGGAAAGUUUCGGUGGUUGGGGAUGGACUCGCGGCUUAUCAGCUUGUUGGUGGGGUAGUGGCUUACCAAGGCUUUGACGGGUAGCCGGCCUGAGAGGGUGACCGGCCACAUUGGGACUGAGAUACGGCCCAGACUCCUACGGGAGGCAGCAGUGGGGAAUAUUGCACAAUGGGCGGAAGCCUGAUGCAGCAACGCCGCGUGCGGGAUGACGGCCUUCGGGUUGUAAACCGCUUUCGCCUGUGACGAAGCGUGAGUGACGGUAAUGGGUAAAGAAGCACCGGCUAACUACGUG